UCAAACUUGGUCAUUUAGAGGAAGUAAAAGUCGUAACAAGGUUUCCGUAGGUGAACCUGCGGAAGGAUCAUUGAUGAAUUCAAGGCGGCUUCGGAUUGUGCUGGCCCCUCGGGGCAUGUGCACGUCCGACGUCGUCAAUCUCACACACACACCGUGCACGCUUAGAGGGCACGGCGCGUUCCAAAGGGUUUGCCGGCGUCUCGUCGGCUCUCCCGGGGGUGCGUUGUCCUUCUACUUUUUCAUACACACCUCUGACCGGUCUCGCAUGUCUUUGAUGUAAUCAAUACAACUUUCAACAACGGAUCUCUUGGCUCUCGCAUCGAUGAAGAACGCAGC
rnacentral:misc_RNA from 1 species